GGGUUGUGAGGUUAAGCGACUAAGCGUACACGGUGGAUGCCCUGGCAGUCAGAGGCGAUGAAGGACGUGCUAAUCUGCGAUAAGCGUCGGUAAGGUGAUAUGAACCGUUAUAACCGGCGAUUUCCGAAUGGGGAAACCCAGUGUGUUUCGACACACUAUCAUUAACUGAAUCCAUAGGUUAAUGAGGCGAACCGGGGGAACUGAAACAUCUAAGUACCCCGAGGAAAAGAAAUCAACCGAGAUUCCCCCAGUAGCGGCGAGCGAACGGGGAGCAGCCCAGAGCCUGAAUCAGUGUGUGUGUUAGUGGAAGCGUCUGGAAAGGCGUGCGAUACAGGGUGACAGCCCCGUACACAAAAAUGCACAUAUUGUGAGCUCGAUGAGUAGGGCGGGACACGUGGUAUCCUGUCUGAAUAUGGGGGGACCAUCCUCCAAGGCUAAAUACUCCUGACUGACCGAUAGUGAACCAGUACCGUGAGGGAAAGGCGAAAAGAACCCCGGCGAGGGGAGUGAAAAAGAACCUGAAACCGUGUACGUACAAGCAGUGGGAGCACGCUUAGGCGUGUGACUGCGUACCUUUUGUAUAAUGGGUCAGCGACUUAUAUUCUGUAGCAAGGUUAACCGAAUAGGGGAGCCGAAGGGAAACCGAGUCUUAACUGGGCGUUAAGUUGCAGGGUAUAGACCCGAAACCCGGUGAUCUAGCCAUGGGCAGGUUGAAGGUUGGGUAACACUAACUGGAGGACCGAACCGACUAAUGUUGAAAAAUUAGCGGAUGACUUGUGGCUGGGGGUGAAAGGCCAAUCAAACCGGGAGAUAGCUGGUUCUCCCCGAAAGCUAUUUAGGUAGCGCCUCGUGAAUUCAUCUCCGGGGGUAGAGCACUGUUUCGGCAAGGGGGUCAUCCCGACUUACCAACCCGAUGCAAACUGCGAAUACCGGAGAAUGUUAUCACGGGAGACACACGGCGGGUGCUAACGUCCGUCGUGAAGAGGGAAACAACCCAGACCGCCAGCUAAGGUCCCAAAGUCAUGGUUAAGUGGGAAACGAUGUGGGAAGGCCCAGACAGCCAGGAUGUUGGCUUAGAAGCAGCCAUCAUUUAAAGAAAGCGUAAUAGCUCACUGGUCGAGUCGGCCUGCGCGGAAGAUGUAACGGGGCUAAACCAUGCAC
rnacentral:rRNA from 1 species